rnacentral:rRNA from 2 species
AGCGUACACGGUGGAUGCCCUGGCAGUCAGAGGCGAUGAAGGACGUGCUAAUCUGCGAAAAGCGUCGGUAAGGUGAUAUGAACCGUUAUAACCGGCGAUGUCCGAAUGGGGAAACCCAGUGCAAUUCGUUGCACUAUCGUUAACUGAAUACAUAGGUUAACGAGGCGAACCGGGGGAACUGAAACAUCUAAGUACCCCGAGGAAAAGAAAUCAACCGAGAUUCCCCCAGUAGCGGCGAGCGAACGGGGAGCAGCCCAGAGUCUGAAUCAGCUUGUGUGUUAGUGGAACGGUCUGGAAAGUCCGACGGUACAGGGUGAUAGUCCCGUACACCAAAAUGCACAGGCUGUGAACUCGAAGAGUAGGGCGGGACACGUGGUAUCCUGUCUGAAUAUGGGGGGACCAUCCUCCAAGGCUAAAUACUCCUGACUGACCGAUAGUGAACCAGUACCGUGAGGGAAAGGCGAAAAGAACCCCGGCGAGGGGAGUGAAAAAGAACCUGAAACCGUGUACGUACAAGCAGUGGGAGCACCUUCGGGUGUGACUGCGUACCUUUUGUAUAAUGGGUCAGCGACUUAUAUUCUGUAGCAAGGUUAACCGUAUAGGGGAGCCGCAGGGAAACCGAGUCUUAACUGGGCGUUAAGUUGCAGGGUAUAGACCCGAAACCCGGUGAUCUAGCCAUGGGCAGGUUGAAGGUUGGGUAACACUAACUGGAGGACCGAACCGACUAAUGUUGAAAAAUUAGCGGAUGACUUGUGGCUGGGGGUGAAAGGCCAAUCAAACCGGGAGAUAGCUGGUUCUCCCCGAAAGCUAUUUAGGUAGCGCCUCGUGAACUCAUCUUCGGGGGUAGAGCACUGUUUCGGCUAGGGGGUCAUCCCGACUUACCAACCCGAUGCAAACUACGAAUACCGAAGAAUGUUAUCACGGGAGACACACGGCGGGUGCUAACGUCCGUCGUGAAGAGGGAAACAACCCAGACCGCCAGCUAAGGUCCCAAAGUCAUGGUUAAGUGGGAAACGAUGUGGGAAGGCACAGACAGCCAGGAUGUUGGCUUAGAAGCAGCCAUCAUUUAAAGAAAGCGUAAUAGCUCACUGGUCGAGUCGGCCUGCGCGGAAGAUGUAACGGGGCUAAACCAUGCACCGAAGCUGCGGCAGCGACACUAUGUGUUGUUGGGUAGGGGAGCGUUCUGUAAGCCUGCGAAGGUGUGCUGUGAGGCAUGCUGGAGGUAUCAGAAGUGCGAAUGCUGACAUAAGUAACGAUAAAGCGGGUGAAAAGCCCGCUCGCCGGAAGACCAAGGGUUCCUGUCCAACGUUAAUCGGGGCAGGGUGAGUCGACCCCUAAGGCGAGGCCGAAAGGCGUAGUCGAUGGGAAACAGGUUAAUAUUCCUGUACUUGGUGUUACUGCGAAGGGGGGACGGAGAAGGCUAUGUUAGCCGGGCGACGGUUGUCCCGGUUUAAGCAUGUAGGCUGGUUGUCCAGGCAAAUCCGGAUAAUCAAGGCUGAGGUGUGAUGACGAGGCACUACGGUGCUGAAGUAACAAAUGCCCUGCUUCCAGGAAAAGCCUCUAAGCAUCAGGUAACAUCAAAUCGUACCCCAAACCGACACAGGUGGUCAGGUAGAGAAUACCAAGGCGCUUGAGAGAACUCGGGUGAAGGAACUAGGCAAAAUGGUGCCGUAACUUCGGGAGAAGGCACGCUGGUGUGUAGGUGAAGUCCCUGCGGAUGGAGCUGAGACCAGUCGAAGAUACCAGCUGGCUGCAACUGUUUAUUAAAAACACAGCACUGUGCAAACACGAAAGUGGACGUAUACGGUGUGACGCCUGCCCGGUGCCGGAAGGUUAAUUGAUGGGGUUAUCCGUAAGGAGAAGCUCUUGAUCGAAGCCCCGGUAAACGGCGGCCGUAACUAUAACGGUCCUAAGGUAGCGAAAUUCCUUGUCGGGUAAGUUCCGACCUGCACGAAUGGCGUAAUGAUGGCCAGGCUGUCUCCACCCGAGACUCAGUGAAAUUGAACUCGCUGUGAAGAUGCAGUGUACCCGCGGCAAGACGGAAAGACCCCGUGAACCUUUACUAUAGCUUGACACUGAACAUUGAGCCUUGAUGUGUAGGAUAGGUGGGAGGCUUUGAAGCGUGGACGCCAGUCUGCGUGGAGCCAACCUUGAAAUACCACCCUUUAAUGUUUGAUGUUCUAACGUUGGCCCCUGACCGGGGUUGCGGACAGUGUCUGGUGGGUAGUUUGACUGGGGCGGUCUCCUCCCAAAGCGUAACGGAGGAGCACGAAGGUUAGCUAAUCCUGGUCGGACAUCAGGAGGUUAGUGCAAUGGCAUAAGCUAGCUUGACUGCGAGCGUGACGGCGCGAGCAGGUGCGAAAGCAGGUCAUAGUGAUCCGGUGGUUCUGAAUGGAAGGGCCAUCGCUCAACGGAUAAAAGGUACUCCGGGGAUAACAGGCUGAUACCGCCCAAGAGUUCAUAUCGACGGCGGUGUUUGGCACCUCGAUGUCGGCUCAUCACAUCCUGGGGCUGAAGUAGGUCCCAAGGGUAUGGCUGUUCGCCAUUUAAAGUGGUACGCGAGCUGGGUUUAGAACGUCGUGAGACAGUUCGGUCCCUAUCUGCCGUGGGCGCUGGAGAAUUGAGGGGGGCUGCUCCUAGUACGAGAGGACCGGAGUGGACGCAUCACUGGUGUUCGGGUUGUCAUGCCAAUGGCACUGCCCGGUAGCUAAAUGCGGAAGAGAUAAGUGCUGAAAGCAUCUAAGCACGAAACUUGCCCCGAGAUGAGUUCU